rnacentral:piRNA from 1 species
UGAGAUGACAACAUGAGGGAACUCCUA